rnacentral:rRNA from 1 species
GAUGAGCGCUGGCGGCGUGCCUAAUACAUGCAAGUCGAACGCGAGAGGAGGGAGCUUGCUCCCUCUGAUCGAGUGGCGGACGGGUGAGUAACACGUAGGCAACCUGCCCAUCAGCCGGGGAUAACUGCGGGAAACCGUGGCUAAUACCGGAUAAUCCUCUCCACCGCGGGGAGGGGAGUUGAAAGACGGUUUCGGCUGUCGCUGAUGGAUGGGCCUGCGGCGCAUUAGCUGGUUGGCGGGGUAAGGGCCCACCAAGGCAACGAUGCGUAGCCGACCUGAGAGGGUGAUCGGCCACACUGGGACUGAGACACGGCCCAGACUCCUACGGGAGGCAGCAGUAGGGAAUCUUCCGCAAUGGACGCAAGUCUGACGGAGCAACGCCGCGUGAGUGAAGAAGGGUUUCGGCUCGUAAAACUCUGUUGUUAAGGAAGAACGCCAGGUAGAGUAACUGCUACCUGUGUGACGGUACUUAACCAGAAAGCCACGGCUAACUACGUGCCAGCCGCCGCUGUAA